UGCUCAGAAGGAUAUUUCCAUGAAAACAUACUAGAUGAAGCGCAAAUAUCCAGAAUAUUCUACUAAUUUCAUGGAGUAUAGAAGCCAAAAUUUUAACCAACUAAGCAUAAUAGAAUAUACAAAACUGCAAAUGGAUUUUCGCCCGCCAUGCGGUAAUCCACGUAGACAGACCAUUUCCACAAGUUAAUAAGGAAUGAAUACAAAGGAUCAUUUACCAUGCAUGCGGUAAUCCACAUAGACAGGUUAUUCGAACAUAGUAAUAAAGAAUGGAACUAGGUUAUGCGUAAUCCGCACAAACAGGAUAUUCCAACAGAAUAAUAAAGAAUGGAACCAGGUCAUGCGUAAUCCGCACAGACAGGAUGUUCCAACAGAAUAAUAAAGAAUGGAACCAGGUCAUGCGUAAUCCGCAUAGACAGGAUGUUCCAACAGAAUAAUAAAGAAUGGAAUAACAACAAAAUUCACCAGACAUGCGAUAGACCGCACAGACAGGUUAUUCCAACAGAAUAAUAAAGAAUGGAAUAAUAAAAGAAUUUCACCAUGUAUGCAAUACUUCGCAUAGGCAGGUUAUUCGAACAUAAUAAUAAAGAAUGGAAUAACAACCCUUACGAGUAUUGAAAGAAAAUAACACUCUUCAUGAAUACGAAAGAAUAAUACCCCUUACCUUAGAAAGAAGAAUAUUUCGACUGGUAGGUCGAGGAUAUUCUUGAAGAAAACUUAUACUGCUUUCUACGCUCAAAGUUUCUUAAAACUCUAAAGAAAUACGCUCCAUAUUAUAGAAGAAGAAUUCUCUGAAUUUCUGGUGUGUUUUCAAUUCUAACUAAGCAUCCUAUUUAUAGGAGAAUAGAAAGGAUAC
rnacentral:lncRNA from 1 species